rnacentral:rRNA from 1 species
AUUGAACGCUGGCGGCAGGCCUAACACAUGCAAGUCCAACGGUAACAGGAAGAAGCUUGCUUCUUUGCUGACGAGUGGCGGACGGGUGAGUAAUGUCUGGGAAACUGCCUGAUGGAGGGGGAUAACUACUGGAAACGGUAGCUAAUACCGCAUAACGUCGCAAGACCAAAGAGGGGGACCUUCGGGCCUCUUGCCAUCGGAUGUGCCCAGAUGGGAUUAGCUAGUAGGUGGGGUAACGGCUCACCUAGGCGACGAUCCCUAGCUGGUCUGAGAGGAUGACCAGCCACACUGGAACUGAGACACGGUCCAGACUCCUACGGGAGGCAGCAGUGGGGAAUAUUGCACGAUGGGCGCAAGCCUGAUGCAGCCAUGCCGCGUGUAUGAAGAAGGCCUUCGGGUUGUAAAGUACUUUCAGCGGGGAGGAAGGGAGUAAAGUUAAUACCUUUACUCAUUGACGUUACCCGCAGAAGAAGCACCGGCUAACUCCGUG